UAAACAUUGGUGUAAGGCUUGUGGAUGUCGACGUGUAUGCAAAGCCAAAGUGUGCUCUCGACGUGUCUGCAAACGAGUCAGAUGUACUAGGAGAGUAUGCCGUAUCGUAAUCAAAUACAGGAUCGUUAGAUACAAAUACCGCAACCCUUAUUACAAAGGAUAUGGAAGUCUCUACUUGUGGAAGACCAAAAAGGUUCCAUACAAAGUUCGUGUCUGCAAAAAUGUGCGAAGUUUCUGCCCCAAAUGUUACAACCAACGUUACAAUUGUGGUCGUGUUUGCCGCCACAUAUGUAAAUUCAGAAAG